rnacentral:lncRNA from 1 species
AGGGGGUUGAAGGGAGUCCAGAUGCAAUGCCAGCACUGCUCAGCAGCAGGCAAAACACUGGUGUGAUACCAGUGCUGCUCUAGCUCCAAGUGCAGAGCCCAGCACUGUAUGGGCUGCUGCAGGGACAGCUAACAUCCCAGCCAGAGCCAGUACAAUUACCUACUAGUUCUGGCCACAGUAGCUCAGAAGGAUUUGGAACAGACACACCAUAGGCUGCAGUGAUGGAUGACCUACUCUUGCCCAGCUAAAGAUUUCUCUGUCUUUCUACAACAUUCAACGUAUUCACUGCAAUAUGAAGACCCUCCAGGUUCUACAUCAAUCACUCUUUCUUCUCAAUAUCUAUACAAAGGCACUGGGGAAAAUUAUGAGACAUCAUUUAAAGUACCAACAACAUGGAUCACUUUCUGUCCCAAUGGAUGGUGUCUGAGGGACUGACAGUUGGAGAAACGCUUUCCUGUGUCAGUACAAGUGGGGAUGCUGAGCACCUUCUCUCUUGAGGUGAUGCUACCCGUGCAUGUCCCCCAGGACCAUGCAGGUCCCCUCUGUGACCCACUGCAGUUGGUGAAGGAUGAACCAGAUCACAGUUCAUGCCUUCCCUGGAAUCACUCUCAUAUAUUACGUGCCUCAGAGAUACAGGCGCUGACCGACAACCUACAGGAUUCCACUUAAUAUUUCUGUUCAGUAUGACACAGCUUCUUGUGUGGAUGGUUCCCAUUCACUAAGUUGCUCAUCUUCCUAUUUAAUUUGUUACACUGCAUUUCUCCUAGCACAUACUGAAAGGUAGGCAGAAACCUGCAAUCAAGCGACACUUCUCAGGGGCCUUGCAGAAAUGUAGGUCUGUCUAUAAAGUUCAGAGAUGAACGCCUUCUUUUCUAUCUUCCCUCAGCUCUUGAUGGAGAAAAGUCUUUGCAGUCAAUAAUUUAAAGGAAAAAAAAAAAAAAGAAAAAAAAAAAAGAUGUGUUUGAAUACUGCAAAACUGUAUUUUUAAAAUGUAUUUUUUUGGAUGUGCUAAUUUAUAUUCUGCAUACAAAUAAAGAUCAUGAAGAAUUAUGUAUCA